UAGGGAAUCUUCCACAAUGGACGCAAGUCUGAUGGAGCAACGCCGCGUGAGUGAAGAAGGUUUUCGGAUCGUAAAGCUCUGUUGUUGGUGAAGAAGGAUAGAGGCAGUAACUGGUCUUUAUUUGACGGUAAUCAACCAGAAAGUCACGGCUAACUACGUGCCAGCAGCCGCGGUAAUACGUAGGUGGCAAGCGUUGUCCGGAUUUAUUGGGCGUAAAGCGAGCGCAGGCGGAAUGAUAAGUCUGAUGUGAAAGCCCACGGCUCAACCGUGGAACUGCAUCGGAAACUGUCAUUCUUGAGCGCAGAAGAGGAGAGUGGAAUUCCAUGUGUAGCGGUGGAAUGCGUAGAUAUAUGGAAGAACGCCAGUGGCGAAGGCGGCUCUCUGGUCUGCAACUGACGCUGAGGCUCGAAAGCAUGGGUAGCGAGCAGG
rnacentral:rRNA from 1 species